CCGGGCCUACGGGGGGCAGCAGUGGGGAAUAUUGCACAAUGGGCGAAAGCCUGAUGCAGCAACGCCGCGUGAAGGAAGAAGGGUUUCGGCUCGUAAACUUCUAUCAACAGGGACGAAAGAAAUGACGGGACCUGAAUAAGAAGCCCCGGCUAACUACGUGCCAGCAGCCGAGGGAAUAAGUAGGGGGCAAGCGUUAUCCGGAAUUACUGGGGGUAAAGGGAGAGUAGGCGGCAUGGUAAGC
rnacentral:rRNA from 1 species